rnacentral:rRNA from 1 species
CUCCAAUAGCGUAUAUUAAAGUUGUUGCGGUUAAAAAGCUCGUAGUUGGAUUUCUGUUGAGGACAGCCGGUCCAUGUUUUGCAUGAGAAUCGGUUUGGCCUCGGCAUCCUCUUGGAAUACGCUUCUGCGCUUAAUUGCGUAGUGCGGUUCAAGACUUUUACUUUGAGGAAAUUAGAGUGUUCACGGCAGCUAUCGCCUGA